GGUUGUGGCUCAAAGGCAGAGCGCUUGCCUAGCACACAGGAGGCACUGGAUUCGAUCCUCAGCACCA
rnacentral:tRNA from 1 species